UCCAGGGCUCUGGGGAGUAGCAAAUCUCUGUCGUUGCCUCCAGGAAUGACCAGACUCCUUUAUGACUACUGUCAUAAAGCAGGGGAAGGGGGUGAUGGCUACAGUGGUCAGGCCACCGUGCUGACUGUUGGUGCUGGUUUUCUAGUGAUCUAUCUGCAACUCCACCACCCCUUGGGCACCGCCCACCCAUACUGAGAGGCCCACAAAUUGUUGCCACCUACAACUAAACUUUAUUCAGGUAGGGAAAAUUGAAAUAGACAUAUGCACCCUUUGUUUCCACCUCCAGAUCUCCUGGGUCUCACUGAUGACUGCAAGGGAGGGGAAUGUCUGCACCGGUGCCCCUCCAUCGCAUUCCUGCACCACUCUGCAGUGCCAGCAUAAGUGCCCCAGCGCCUGCACUUAUAGCCCGUACACCAGUGCAAGUGCCAUUGGCAAUAUCACUGCUUCCAUAGCAUCUCCUCCCCCCAAGAUUGUGCCGUAACUGAAAUAAUAAGCUUUAUUUUACUGCUCCCACAAAAGCAUUAUGAAAUUUCUAUUCCCUGGGUUGGCCAGUUCUUUGCACAUGGUAAAGGGGAGUGCUGCUGGAGAAGAUUCAGAAGUCUACAUUAUCUUCCAGGAAGGCUAAUUGCUGUGUUAGUCCUCAUAUUCCUCAGAUUAUGUUCCCAAUGGCAUAUUGUGUACACUGCUGAUAAACAGGUGGAAGGGGAAUAAAAGAUAACAUUACAAUGCUUUCUCUGCUUUGUUUUGCUGCCCUUCCUAAAUCAGGUUUUAAAAGGCAGAAGAGUGGGUUCAUAUCCACAAGACACAAUCAGCCUUUCAGAGCGUUCUUGUACAUUUCUAGCAACGUGAACCAUCCGUGACCUUUUAAAAAUAAAUGGAAGAAACCAGUGAUUCUGAGAUAAGUUGGAAUAGGAACUACCGUGUUCCGCACUAGCUCCACCCUUAGAAUCCUGCUUCUCCCGGCCAGAGAGACCAGCGAAUCGGCGCCCACCUUCCCGAUGGGCCUCACAUUCCCCUACUGCCUCUCAAUCUCAGUUAACUGGGGAAGAAUAUGAAAGCAAGGAACUGCCAUUGGAAGACCCAAACAAGUGAUGCAAGUCUGCAUGAAUUAUCAUAGAAUAAUUCAUUGUUUUUUGCAUAAUAGCACCAUUACCAUGACCAGUCUCUGUCAGCGAGGAGAGUUCAAUUAUUAAAGGUCAAAGAAUGUGCUAGAAUGCACUUGGUUAAAGUACAUCCUGUGGAACAGAGAGAUGGUUCUAGAAUGAAAACGUGCCUGUAAUAACUUAUUUUUAUCAUAGCUCAGAAAACUAUUUUUGCCUCCAUCUUUUCUACACACAAUAUAUUAAUGAAAAGGUCUAAAAGAUAUACAGAUAAAGGUAACAUUUUAAAUAAAGUAUACAUUAUGUUUCAAAGGAAAUUGAAUGUGUUCUCUCUCUUGCUCUCUGACUACUGACUGCCUUCUGUUAUAUUUGCACUGUUAAGGUUUGCGUUUUGUUGGCUGGCUGUUAGGUUAAUUUCUGAUAUAAAAUUAGAAUCUUGAAAUUAAUUUUAUUCUGUCAAUUGCCAUUUUGUAAAAAAGAAAAAAAUCAUAAAGGUGCUUUAGCAUGUCUGAAGCAGUAAAUUUUAAUUAGUGAAGAAAG